AGGCUAAUCCCUUAAAGCCAUUCUCAGUUCGGAUUGUAGGCUGAAACUCGCCUACAUGAAGCUGGAGUUACUAGUAAUCGCAGAUCAGAAUGCUGCGGUGAAUGCGUUCCCGGGUCUUGUACACACCGCCCGUCACACCACGGAAGUUGGGGGCGCCCGAAGCCACUUAGCUAACCCUUUUGGGAAGCGAGUGUCGAAGGUGAAAUCAAUAACUGGGGCGAAGUCGUAACAAGGUAUC
rnacentral:rRNA from 1 species